rnacentral:rRNA from 1 species
AUUGAACGCUGGCGGCAGGCCUAACACAUGCAAGUCGAACGGUAACAGGAAGCAGCUUGCUGCUUUGCUGACGAGUGGCGGACGGGUGAGUAAUGUCUGGGAAACUGCCUGAUGGAGGGGGAUAACUACUGGAAACGGUAGCUAAUACCGCAUAACGUCGCAAGACCAAAGAGGGGGACCUUCGGGCCUCUUGCCAUCGGAUGUGCCCAGAUGGGAUUAGCUAGUAGGUGGGGUAACGGCUCACCUAGGCGACGAUCCCUAGCUGGUCUGAGAGGAUGACCAGCCACACUGGAACUGAGACACGGUCCAGACUCCUACGGGAGGCAGCAGUGGGGAAUAUUGCACAAUGGGCGCAAGCCUGAUGCAGCCAUGCCGCGUGUAUGUAGAAGGCCUUCGGGUUGUAAAGUACUUUCAGCGGGGAGGAAGGGAGUAAAGUUAAUACCUUUGCUCAUUGACGUUACCCGCAGAAGAAGCACCGGCUAACUCCGUG